ACCUCUUGAAAUAGUUGCACAAACCUUUCAAGCAGCAAGAAUCCAGGUCUGCAGUCUUCUACUAUUUGCCUAGUAAAACCUUGGACAAUUUUUGCUAUUGGGUGGCAAGAACAAUACAACUCUAAAAGGUAAGUAAAUAGGUGAAACUAGUCUUCCUUUAAUAGAGUUAUUUGCUGCAGUCUUCUGCUAUUUGCCUAGUUAAAUCUUGGAUGAUUUUGUUAUUGGGUGGACAAGAACAAUACAACUGAAAAAGGUCAGGUAAUUAGGUGAAACUAAUUUUCCUUUAAUAGAUCCGAAACUAAGCCACAAUAGGACUCAAAAACGUAUAGGAUUCUAUCCUACUUUAACUCAAAAGGAUAACUUUUUUCCCAAGCUACUUUUUACCCAAGUCUGCCCAGGUUUUUACAGCGUAUAGC
rnacentral:lncRNA from 1 species